UGCCGUUAGGGUUCCAUUACAAUCCAUCGUAAUUCGAUUACAUGUCACACCAAGUAGCUGUUAUAUUUUGAAAAAGUGGCAGUAAUACGCUUUUCGUUUCCGUAUUGAAAACAGAGAAGAUCUCUCCACUGCAACCUUUAAGCAAGUUUUGAAGCUCUUUUGUACCGUCUUUGUGGUCAUUCUUCUCGUUGUCGUCGUGUUUCGGCCGACAGGGACAUGCGCCUGGAGGUAUUUUUUCUCGCCGCCGAUAUAGUACUCCUGGGGACCAUCGAAAUCAUCGUUAGAGCCGAGACUAGAAGCACAAUUCAGAUCAGCAAGUGUAAAGAUGCACCAUGAAUCUUGUCCUUGGUGAUUGUGAGGAUUUUCAGAAGCUCCCACCUGCGAAAGAAAAGAAGAAUAAGAGCGUCAAGCAUUUGUUCGGCGCAAAGGGUCAAACUUGCAUCGUCGAGUUUCAUCGAUCUGGUUGCAGACUUUGGAGGACGGAGGACGGAGGUCAGAGGGUCUAGUUGUAGAAAGAGCUCUCUUUCUUGCAUCAUCGAGUUUCGUCAGUUUGGUUGUAGACUUGGAGAACGGAGGGUCGAGCUUCAAUUCGGCACAGAGGAUAAGAGGGAGCAUAAUCGUCGAUCUGGUUGCAGACUUGGAGGACGGACUUCAGUUCAGCACAGAGGAUGAGAGAGAGCAGAGCAGAGUCAUUGGUCUGGUUGCAAACUUGGACGAAGGGUCUAAAUUUCAGUUCCGCUGCUGCUAAUGCCCCGGAUGUAGCAACCACACCUAUGGUUUGUCCCUAGAGAAAGCGGUGAGCUUCUUCCCUCUGCAUAUCAGCGAGGAGAAGAAGUCGAAAACAAAACCAAACAUGAAGAGAGGGUUCUCGGUUCUUCUCCCUCUUAUUUUCUCUCUGUCACCCAUCACUUCCUCUUUUCGUGUGCCUCAACACCCCACUUGGUUCAUCUGGCGAGCAGUGUCAAGGGAACAAUGGCGACUACAAAGUCAAGACUGCAUAGUCAAGAGCUACAACUCAUUCCAACUCCUACCGGAUCUGCAACUCAAUCACUAUUUCGCUUGCAUCACCCUUGGAGAAUUGCCUUAUAAAACCUUGAGACCUUGAGAAUGAAUCGGAGGAAGAUCCCCUUUUCUGCUAAAAACUUUCAUGUCUCCUCCGUCCCAAAGAUGGGUCGAUAUUUUGAAAAUUCAAGAAAUGAUGGAAGGUAAAUUUUACAUUUUUCUUUUUUAUGACAAUUGUGCAAUAGGGAUACUUUAAGAAAUUUGCCCUUAAAUGAUCCACUUAUUCAUCCUUCCUCUGAGGCAAAGGAUCUCUUAAGUAUCAAAGCCGCCUUCUUAUUUGCUUCU